AUUAAAGUUACUAAUGCAUAUGGUGGAUGCCUUGGGUAUUUGUGUCGAUGAAGGAAGUGCUAGGCUGCUUUAAGCUUCGAGGAGUUGCCAAGAAACGUUAUUACUCGGAGAUUUCCGAAUGGGGAAACCCGCUGCAUUUAUGCGGCACCGGUCACUAAAACCUUUUGCUUUUAGCAGAAGAUAUAGGUGAUUUGGAGAGAACUCGGCGAACUGAAACAACAUAGUAGCCGGAGGAAAAAAGAUCAAUUAGACAUUCCCUUAGUAGCGGCGAGCGAACAGGGAGGAGCCCAAACCCAGAGUCUUUAUUAUUUCUUUCCGAACUAGACUUACGGUUUUUAACCAUGAGUUUGGUUUGGGAGGACGUUUAAGACAAAGGGGGUAUGGACAGCCCAUUCUGUUAAAUCAGAAAAGAGUUACAAAGUACUUUUGUAGGAGAAGACCCCUGGAAAGGGGCGCCACAGAAAGUAAUAGCCUUGUAACCGAAACAGGAGUACCUCUUUGGGUUGAUCCUGAGUAGCACGGGACACGUGUAACCCUGUGUGAAUAAACGACGUCCACGUCGUAAGGCUAAAUACACAAAUACACCGAUAGCGUAUAGUACCGUGAGGGAAAGGUGAAAAGAACCCCUGUUAGGGGAGUGAAAUAGAACCUGAAACCGUAUGCAAACAAGCUUGCAAAGCCAUAUUUAUAUGGUGAUGCAGUGCCUAUUGAAGAAUGAGCCAGCGAGUUAAUGUUGUAGGCGAGCUUAACCACUUUAUGUGGGGAGGCGUAGGGAAACCGAGUCUUAAUAGGGCGAUUAGUCUGCAGCAUUAGACCCGAAGCCAAGUGAGCUAACCAUGGUCAGGGUGAAGUCACAUGAGAAUGUGAUGGAGGCCCGAACCGGUACAUGAGGAAAAAUGUUCGGAUGAAUUGUGGUUAGAGGUAAAACGCUUAACGAACUUGGCGAUAGCUGGUUCUCCCCGAAACAUGUUUAGGCAUGGUCUCUGUUUUUAAGGCCUUACGAGGUAGAGAUACUGAAAGGGGAUGGGGUGCGUAAGCAUACCCACUCCUACCAAACUCCGAAUGCGUAAGUGUCAGACAGGGAAUCAGUGACGCGGGGAAAUCUCGUGUUACGAAAGGGAAACAACCCAGAUCAUCAGCUAAGGUCCCUAAUUUUUACUCAGUGGGUAAGGAAGUAAGAUCGUUAAGACAGCUAGGAGGUUGGCUUAGAAGCAGCCAUCCUUUAAAGAAAGCGUAACAGCUCACUAGUUAAACGAUUUUGCGCCGACGAUUUAACGGGGCUAAAGUAAAAAACCGAAGCUAUGACUUUGUACUUUUGUACAAGGGGUAGGGGAGCGUUGAUACAGCAGUGAAGCUUUACCGUGAGGUAAGGUGGAGCGGUAUCAAGUGAGAAUGCUGGCAUCAGUAACGAGAUCCAACUGAAAACGUUGGACGCCGAAAACCUAAGGAUUCCUCCGCAAUGCCAGUCAUCGGAGGGUUAGUCGGUCCUAAGGCGAGGCCGAAAGGCGUAGUCGAUGGACAGCAGGUUAAUAUUCCUGCACUACUGCAGAAUCGUUAAUACCGAUGGGGUGACGAAGCAUGACUUAUUAGGCUCACUAAGGAUGUGAGUCCCGAAAGCGAGGAAGUUUGUGUAGGCAAAUCCGCACAAGCGUUUUUACCUGAGCUGGGGGAAAGUUCACCGCAAGGUGCGCAAUCUAAUCGGUUCAAGUUUCCAGGAAAAACCUCUAGGGAGUAUCUGCAGUAUCCGUACCGCAAACCGACACAGGUAGGUAGGUAGAGGAUACCAAGGCGAACGAGUGAAUAGUGGUCGAGGAACUAGGCAAAUUACAUCCGUAACUUAGGAAAAAGGAUGCCCUGCGCGCUUCGGCGUUGCAGGGGGCACAAAAAUGGCUCAAGCGGCUGUUUAUCAAAAACACAGGUCCCUGCUAAACCAGUAAUGGGAGGUAUAGGGGCCGACGCGUGCCCAGUGCCCGUAGGUUAAGGUCGAGGGUGACCAUGUACUUGUACAUGGAGGCUUUUGACUCAAGCCCGGGUGAACGGCAGCAGUAACUAUAACUGUUCUAUGGUAGCGUAAUCCCUUGCCGGGUAAGUUCCGGCCCGCACGAAACGCGUAACGACUUGAGCACUCUCUUAAUCACUAUCUCGGUGAAGUUGAACUACCGGUGAAGAUGCCGGUUACUUGUUGUUGGACAGAAAGACCCCGUGGAGCUUUACUGUAGCUUGGUAUUGAUGAUCGGUUUUAAAUGUAUAGCGUAGGAGGGAGAUUCGUAUUUAUAUGAAUCGCCAAUGUAACACCUCUCUUUUAAUGUCGUGAAUCUCACCAUCUCGCCUUACCGGCGAGGGGGACAAUGCCUGGUGGGCAGUUUGUCUGGGGCGGACUCCUGCUAAAAGGUAACGCAGGAGCUCAAAGGUUCCCUUAUCUCGGAUGGAAAUCGAGAUGUAAGCGUAAAGGUAUAUGGGAGCUUGACUGCAAGACUUACAAGUCGAGCAGAUACGAAAGUAGGACUUAGUGAUCUUCCAAGUGCGUAGUGGUACGCCUGGAACUUAUCGGAUAAAAGUUACCCCGGGGAUAACAGGCUUAUCUUGCCCGAGCGUCCAUAGCGGCGGCAAGGUUUGGCACCUUAGACAGAAAUCAGGGGUGCUACGGAAGUAAUUCCGUACCAAAAAUUCGGCUAAUAACGGUGAACUCCUAAUUGAUUUACUAAUCAAAGGAGAAUACCGUGGGAAGUCUAUUGGAAUGACAAAAAUAUUCCUUUAUGACCCCGUAUCGACUGAUCCUGAGAGCGAAAGCUCAAUAAUGGUGAGAUGGAAACUGCUUUAAAAUAAUUAUAUUUCCAUCAAACGCCGACUCCUACUCUUACUUUAUUGUAAGACAAGAGGAAGAAGAUAUAGUCAGUGCAAGCUAGUAAUAGUUUGAUAUACAUGCGAUGUCGUCUCGUCGUAUCCUGGGGCUGGAGCAGGUCCCAAGGGUUAGGCUGUUCGCCUAUUAAAACGGCGCGUUAGAUGGGUUCAGAACGUCGCAAGACAGUUCGGUCCAUUUCCACAACAAGUGCAGAAUUCUGAGGAGGCUCAUUCCUAGUACGAGAGGACCGGAAUGACCAAAUCUCUAGUGUACCAGUUGUUCUACCAAGAGCAUCGCUGGGUAGCUACAUUUGGAUUUGAUAAGCGCUGAAAGCAUAUAAGCACGAAGCAUACUCCAAAACUAGAAUUCAUCAUCUUUUAGAUGAGACAACUCCUAGGAGACUACUAGGUUGAUAGGCUGUAGGUGCAAGUACAGUAAUGUAUUAAGCCGAGCAGUACUAAUAGUUGUUCAACUUUAUUAU
rnacentral:rRNA from 1 species